rnacentral:rRNA from 1 species
UACGGAAGGCAGCAGUGGGGAAUAUUGCACAAUGGGCGCAAGCCUGAUGCAGCCAUGCCGCGUGUAUGAAGAAGGCCUUCGGGUUGUAAAGUACUUUCAGCGGGGAGGAAGGCGGUGAAGUUAAUAGCUUCACCGAUUGACGUUACCCGCAGAAGAAGCACCGGCUAACUCCGUGCCAGCAGCCGCGGUAAUACGGAGGGUGCAAGCGUUAAUCGGAAUUACUGGGCGUAAAGCGCACGCAGGCGGUCUGUCAAGUCGGAUGUGAAAUCCCCGGGCUUAACCUGGGAACUGCAUUCGAACUGGCAGGCUAGAGUCUUGUAGAGGGGGUAGAAUUCCAGGUGUAGCGGUGAAAUGCGUAGAGAUCUGGAGGAAUACCGGUGGCGAAGGCGGCCCCUGGGACAAGACUGACGCUCAGGGUGCGAAAGCGUGGGGAGCGAAACAGGGAUUAGGAU